rnacentral:rRNA from 1 species
UGGGGAAUAUUGCACAAUGGGGGAAACCCUGAUGCAGCGACGCCGCGUGAGCGAAGAAGGCUUUCGAGUCGUAAAGCUCUGUCCUAUGAGAAGAUAAUGACGGUAUCAUAGGAGGAAGCCCUGGCUAAAUACGUGCCAGCAGCCGCGGUAAUACGUAUGGGGCGAGCGUUGUCCGGAAUUAUUGGGCGUAAAGGGUACGUAGGUGGUUUUUUAAGUCAGGUGUCAAAGCGUGGAGCUUAACUCCAUUAAGCACUUGAAACUGAAAGACUUGAGUGAAGGAGAGGAAAGUGGAAUUCCUAGUGUAGCGGUGAAAUGCGUAGAUAUUAGGAGGAAUACCGGUGGCGAAGGCGAAUUUCUGGACUUUUACUGACGCUCAGGUACGAAAGCGUGGGGAGCAAACAGG